rnacentral:tRNA from 2 species
GAACGAUUAGCUCAGCUGGAUAGAGCGUCUGGCUACGGACCAGAAGGUCGGGGGUUCGAAUCCUCUAUCGUUCG